rnacentral:rRNA from 1 species
CGCCUGGGGAGUACGGUCGCAAGAUUAAAACUCAAAUGAAUUGACGGGGGCCCGCACAAGCGGUGGAGCAUGUGGUUUAAUUCGAUGCAACGCGAAGAACCUUACCAAGACUUGACAUCCUGCGAACUUACUAGAGAUAGUUUGGUGCCUUCGGGAACGCAGUGACAGGUGCUGCAUGGCUGUCGUCAGCUCGUGUUGUGAAAUGUUGGGUUAAGUCCCGUAACGAGCGCAACCCUUGUCCUUAGUUGCUAGCAGGUUAACUGAGAACUCUAAGGAGACUGCCGGUGACAAACCGGAGGAAGGUGGGGACGACGUCAAGUCAUCAUGGCCCUUACGACCUGGGCUACACACGUGCUUCAAUGGGGGGUACAAAGGGUUGUGAAGCCGCGAGGUGAAGCUAAUCCCAUAAAACCUCUCGUAGUCCGGAUUGGAGUCUGCAACUCGACUCCAUGAAGUCGGAAUCGCUAGUAAUCGUAAAUCAGAAUGUUACGGUGAAUACGUUCCCGGGCCUUGAACACACCGCCCGUC